AGAGUUUGAUCCUGGCUCAGGACGAACGCUGGCGGCGUGCUUAACACAUGCAAGUCGAGCGAGGCCCUUCCUUCGGGAAGGUGUCCUAGCGGCGAACGGGUGAGUAACACGUGGGCAACCUGCCCUCAGCUCUGGGAUAACUCCGGGAAACCGGGGCUAAUACCGGAUACGACCUCUAAGGGCAUCCGAAGAGGUGGAAAGUUUUUCGGCUGAGGAUGGGCCCGCGGCCUAUCAGCUUGUUGGUGGGGUGACGGCCUACCAAGGCGACGACGGGUAGCUGGCCUGAGAGGGUGACCGGCCACACUGGGACUGAGACACGGCCCAGACUCCUACGGGAGGCAGCAGUGGGGAAUAUUGCGCAAUGGGCGAAAGCCUGACGCAGCGACGCCGCGUGAGGGACGAAGGCCUUCGGGUUGUAAACCUCUUUCAGCAGGGACGAAGCGAAAGUGACGGUACCUGCAGAAGAAGCACCGGCCAACUACGUGCCAGCAGCGGCGGUAAUAC
rnacentral:rRNA from 1 species